rnacentral:rRNA from 1 species
UAGGGAAUCUUCCGCAAUGGGCGAAAGCCUGACGGAGCAACGCCGCGUGAGUGAUGAAGGUCUUCGGUUCGUAAAACUCUGCUAUUAGGGAAGAACAAAUGUGUAAGUAACUAUGCACGUCUUGACGGUACCUAAUCAGAAAGCCACGGCUAACUACGUGCCAGCAGCCGCGGUAAUACGUAGGUGGCAAGCGUUAUCCGGAAUUAUUGGGCGUAAAGCGCGCGUAGGCGGUUUUUUAAGUCUGAUGUGAAAGCCCACGGCUCAACCGUGGAGGGUCAUUGGAAACUGGAAAACUUGAGUGGAAAAGAGGAAAGUGGAAUUCCAUGUGUAGCGGUGAAAUGCGCAGAGAUAUGGGGGAACACCAGUGGCGAAGGCGGCUUUCUGGUCUGUAACUGACGCUGAUGUGCGAAAGCGUGGGGAUCAAACAGG